CUUGCCGUAAACGGUGUAUACUUGAUGUAGUUAGGCUCAACCCUGACUGUGUCGUAGCUAACGCGAUAAGUAUACCGCCUGGGGANGCAACGCGAAGAACCUUACCCAGAUUUGACAUACAGAGGACAGUCACAGAGAUGUGAUCUUCCGUAAGGACCGCUGAACAGGUGC
rnacentral:rRNA from 1 species